rnacentral:ncRNA from 1 species
AACAAGAAAAGGCAAACCCGGGCGAAAGCCGGGGGCGCAAAGCCAUGUGUCCAAAGCCGCGGGGAGGCUACUAUCGCCAGGCUGCCGCA